UGUUAGUGGGUUUCCCGCCCUUUUAGUGGNUGCAGNUAAUGCAUUAAGCACUCCGCCUGGGGAGUACGGUCGCAAGACUGAAANUCAAAGGAAUUGGGGGGGCCCGCACAAGCGGUGGAGCAUGUGGUUUAAUUGGAAGCAACGNGAAGAACCUUACCAGGUCUUGACAUCCUCUGACAACCCUAGAGAUAGGGCUUUCCCUUCGGGGACAGAGUGACAGGUGGUGCAUGGUUGUCGUCAGCUCGUGUCGUGAGAUGUUGGGUUAAGUCCCGCAACGAGCGCAACCCUUGAUCUUAGUUGCCAGCAUUCAGUUGGGCACUCUAAGGUGACUGCCGGUGACAAACCGGAGGAAGGUGGGGAUGACGUCAAAUCAUCAUGCCCCUUAUGACCUGGGCUACACACGUGCUACAAUGGACAGAACAAAGGGCUGCAAGACCGCAAGGUUUAGCCAAUCCCAUAAAUCUGUUCUCAGUUCGGAUGCGCAGUCUGCAACUCGACUGCGUGAAGCUGGAAUCGCUA
rnacentral:rRNA from 1 species